UCAGCAAGGUGUCAAGGGGUUGGUUCAAGAUUUGACUUGCUUUCUAAACUAACAAGACGAGAGAUAGCAGCAAAAAUUAAACCCGACCAAGAUAUCGAUAUAUACAUGAAGGCAACAGCAUCUGAAGGCCAGGAAGCAAACCAGAUGAUAACAGAAUAUAUACUAAAGCUGACAUCUUCAACUUCAAGUAGUUCUGAGUUCUGAUUUCUCACAAUAUUGCAUCAUCAC